AUGAUUGCCACUGAAGGAAUGGAGGCAGAUUUGAAAGAUACUGGAAGAGACAUUUCCCCGAUGGAGACCAUAUCAGAAGAGAUGAUUGCCACUGAGGGAAUGGAGGCAGAUUUGAAAGAUACUGGAAGAAAAAAUUCCUUGGGGAAGAGAGGAUCUGAAAAGAUGGGUAUUACUGAGGAAAUGGUGGCAGAUUUGGAAAAAACUGGAAAAACAGACAUUUCUCCAACGGAAAAUGAAUCAGAGGAAUCCAGUACUUCAAAGCAAACUGAAGCAAAUGUAAUACAGAGCAGUAGUGGUGACACCAGUACCGUACCUUCACUAGAUAUAAAAAAUAUUAGCAGUGAAGUAUUAUCAGUGAUGCAUAUACCUACAGAAGAAAACAGAAAUUCCGAAAAGGAGGCAUCCUGCCAUUUGAAGACUUCUUCACAAACUUCUGAAAUUGGUGAAAUAGAAGACCAGGAGAUAAGACCUCCAGAUGUUCCAGAACAAUUUUCAGAUAUUAAUUUAAGAUCUCUUCUUCAAGAACAGAAGGCACUUGAAGUUAAACCAGCACCUUUUGUGAGAAGCCUAUUAAAAAGACCAAAACCAAAUUUAACAAGAGCAGCUUUAAAGAAAGAGACUGCAGAAGCACAAAAAUAUGUACAUGGGAAGAAGUUGGAAACUGAUGAAGUAGAGACCACUGUGAUACAGCAGGACAGUGAACAAGCUAGUACUCUCCCUUCUCAACAUGAUGUGGCUUCCCCAAUAACAUCAAAAGAAAAAGAUAAAUCGGGUCACAAGAAGGAGGAGACUGUUACAUUACCAAGUAUACAGACUGAAAAAGACACUUCACCUUCAAAUUCUCAUGAACCUAAAGAGGAGUCUCAGUCAACACAAACACAGGAAAAUGAAUUAGUUGUUCCUACGGGGACUCCUAAAAUUAAAGCUUUCCCACAAGAAGUGAAGGAAAGUGUUAUCCAAAGUUCUGGACCAGUGAGGGGCCGACUUCAGAGACCUAAACCAAAUAUAAGAAAGGCUAGACACAGGCAAAUAGUAGAAAAUGAUGAAGCCAAAGGCAUAAUUAAGGAAGAAAGAUCAUUACUACAAAAAAAUGAAAGUAAUAAGAAGUCCCUGACAAUGUCAAAUUCUCAACUUGAAACUGAAAUUGAAGCUGUAUCCUCCAAAGUUUCAGAAUGCAGAAUGGAUGAAAAUCAAAGUCAUGUGGUUCUUGGAGAAAACCUUCAUGUUAAUGAAAGAAAUAUUUUAGAUGAAAAGAUGAGACAUGAAAAUAAACCAUAUGUUCCUACUCCAGCACAAUUGAUAAGAAGGAAAUUCCAAAAGUCUAAGCCAAAUUUGGGAAGGGCACAUAGUAAGAAAGAGGAACCAGGUAUAGAAAAAGGUACAUAUCAAAGUAAGACAAGCAAACAAGAAGAUAAUUUGCCACAGCAAGGAAAUUCUGACAUCCAUUUCUUUCUAAAAGAAAAAGCGGAGAAUCUGUCAUAUAUGGAGGUUUCAGCAAGAAAAGAUUUUUUAGGCUCUAGAGAAUCUAGUUUGGCCAAAAAAGAUGCUCAAUUAGAAGAAGUUGGACCAUCUGGAAGUGUUGGAGAGGAAAAUGUAGGAACUAAUUUUGUGUCUUCAAUUGUAGAAGAGCAAUAUCUCAGUAAAGUAACAAGGUAAUAUUUUCUUUGGAAAAUGUAGGAACUAAUUUUGUGUCUUCAAUUGUAGAAGAGCAAUAUCUCAGUAAAGUAACAAGGUAAUAUUUUCUUUAACAAAUAGAGUAGGAAAUAAGAAUCACUUAUUCUU
ensembl:lincRNA